rnacentral:lncRNA from 1 species
UACAGCCGCUCUUUCCACACCGUGAGUCACGGGGUCGCCAACUCCACGCCCUCUGGACACCGAGUCGUCACGGCCCCGCAUCUCUCAGGCACAGGUCUCUGACACAAAAGCCACAGCAUCUGCUUAGAUGAGCGCUGACGGUGCGCUGGACUUGACAGUUCGUCCUCACAGUACUCGCCGGAAUCACCCCCUCGGCACGGACAGCCUGGACAGCCUGAUGCGUGGCAAGGAGUCUUUGCUUGGCCAAACCUUAACUGAGGCUCGGCACCUUUUCUUCCAUUCGUCUGUGCAUUUCCUUCUGACGUCCAGUUUGAACCCAAGACCCCUGUUCGGUCGGUUUCGCCGAAACAAACCACCCUGGGCAGAAGAUCAGGGUUUUCCUCUGCCAGCCCCCCCCCGCCCCGCCCCCGACGAUGCCUGAGGGCCAGGGACGGUCUCCA